UAAGAGCUUAAGGUUGUAGUUAAUAGGUUGGUUAAAUAUAAAUCAUGCUUUUUAUGAGAAUCUUUU
rnacentral:tRNA from 1 species